rfam:Danio rerio chromosome 18, GRCz11 reference primary assembly.
ACAUAUAAGCCAUAUCAUCUUUCAAGCCCAAGAGCAGUUACUCACUGAAGCUAAGCAGGGCUGAGCCUGGUCAGUACCUGGAUGGGAGACCACAUGAGAAAACUAGGUUGCUGUUGGAU